CGUAGGGUCCGAGCGUUAUCCGGAUUUAUUGGGCGUAAAGCGUUGCGUAGGCGGUUUACUAAGUCUUCUCUUAAAGCCUGGGGCUUAACCCCGGAUCUGGGGAGGAUACUGGUAAGCUAGAGUAAUAGAGGGGGAGAUGGAAUUGUCGGUGGAGCAGUGAAAUGCGUUGAUAUCGACAAGAACACCAAAGGCGAAGGCAGUCUCCUGGCUAUUUACUGACGCUCAGGCACGAAAGCUGAGGGAGCGAAGCAGAUUAGAGACCUGCGUAGUCUCAGCCGUAAACGAUGGACACUAGAUAGUGGGGGUUUCUCACUGUCGCAAAGCUAACGCGUUAAGUGUCCCGCCUGGGGAGUACGGUCGCAAGACUA
rnacentral:rRNA from 1 species